rnacentral:rRNA from 1 species
GCAUAAUCAUUUGUCCAUUAAUUGUGGACUGGAAUGAAUGGGUUAAUGAAAUUUAAGCUGUCUCUAAUUAACAUUAUAAAAACUAGUCAUUAAGUGAAGAAACUUAAAUUAAAUUGAAAGACAAGAAGACCCUAUAGAGCUUUACUCUAACCUAAAAUAACUAUUUUAGCAACAGUUCGGUUGGGGCGACCAGGGAGCAUCAUCUCUAAACAAACAGAAAAUAAAUUCCAUACAAUAUGACCCUUUAAAGAUCAUAAAAUCAAGCUACCUUAGGGAUAACAGGCUAAUUUUCCUACAGAGACCUUAUUAACAGGAAAGA